CCUACGGGAGGCAGCAGUGAGGAAUAUUGGUCAAUGGGCGUAAGCCUGAACCAGCCAAGUCGCGUGAGGGAUGACUGUCCUAUGGAUCGUAAACCUCUUUUAUAAGGGAAUAAAGUGUGGGACGUGUCCUGUUUUGUAUGUACCUUAUGAAUAAGGAUCGGCUAACUCCGUGCCAGCAGCCGCGGUAAUACGGAGGAUCCGAGCGUUAUCCGGAUUUAUUGGGUUUAAAGGGUGCGUAGGCGGCCUUUUAAGUCAGCGGUGAAAGUGUGUGGCUCAACCAUAGAAUUGCCGUUGAAACUGGGAGGCUUGAGUAUGUUUGAGGCAGGCGGAAUGCGUGGUGGAGCGGUGAAAUGCUUAGAUAUCACGCAGAACCCCGAUUGCGAAGGCAGCCUGCCAAGCCAUGACUGACGCUGAUGCACGAAAGCGUGGGGAUCAAACAGGAUUAGAUACCCCAGUAGUC
rnacentral:rRNA from 1 species